rnacentral:rRNA from 1 species
UACGUAGGGUGCAAGCGUUAAUCGGAAUUACUGGGCGUAAAGCGUGCGCAGGCGGUUUUGUAAGUCUGACGUGAAAUCCCCGGGCUCAACCUGGGAAUUGCGAUGGAGACUGCAAGGCUAGAAUCUGGCAGAGGGGGGUAGAAUUCCACGUGUAGCAGUGAAAUGCGUAGAGAUGUGGAGGAACACCGAUGGCGAAGGCAGCCCCCUGGGUCAAGACUGGCGCUCAUGCACGAAAGCGUGGGGAGCAAACAGG